GCCAGCUUGCAAAUUGCUUUUAUAGCAUUCCACGGUUGUCCACUAUGAUUAUGGGAAAAAGAAGCUGGCUAUUGCAGAAGAAAUCAGUUUGAUUUCCCUUGAAGGCGGAACACAGUAGCAAACAGCUUACAUGACAACACACAUAGCUGGGAGGCAGUAUGGACGCGACACCGUUAAUAAGGAACAUCAAAUCGAGACAGACCGUCGUUGUUGAUACCUUUUUGUCAUCAUCAAUCUUCUACGUGUCCAGUGUUUAUUGCAGGGCGAGUUUAACUUAUCCAGGAUCCUAGGAUACACUGAAAUGUACUAUGAACUGCCAAGCUACAGAAGUAGUAACAGUAUCUGAACGAGUGAAUAUGGCAUUUUCUAUCUGUUCUAUA